UUUAUUUCAUAUGUUGUCUCCCCUCCUUGACUGUCUUCAUGAAUCCAAAUAACCUCCCAGAUUAUGUCUAUUUAUUCAGCAUGUCCUCUUAAUCCUUUUACCUGCAGUAUAAAGCAACACCAAAAUAUAUAAAAUAAUAAAACUAUAGAGCAAAGUAAGGAAAUGAUUGCUGGAAAAAUCACAAUGGUCAUCAUUUCUAGGUGGGAAAGAGAAUUGUGAUUUGGAAUGGACACAUGGUGACUACAAAGAUGCAGCUCUAUUCUGUUUCUUGGAAACACGAGUGUUUGCUUUAUAAUUAUUUAUUAACUAUAGAUUUGUAUCUUUUGAGCUUUCUGAAUAUAUGCUGUAUUUCACAAUAAAGAUGUUCAAAAAAUUAAAUGAAAACUCUGAUAUUUUAAAUGCGAGAAGUGAGGCAUAUCGGUUAACUUCUUUGUUUUUGUAGGCAGGUGUUAUUGCACUGUUUGUAUGAUUCAGACCCACCUACUCUGCUGGAAACAAGCAGAAAUUCAACCCACGUUUACCAUGUAGGUUGUUGCUUACUUGCCUUUCCCAGGCAGAAGUGGCCAGUGUUUGGGUUGAAAGGAUCCGGGAACAUCCAGCUAUUUAUGAUAGCAUUUGCUUCAUUAUGUCAAGUUCAACAAAUGUUGACUUGCUGGUGA
rnacentral:sRNA from 1 species